rnacentral:rRNA from 1 species
AAUAAGAGGUCCAGCCUGCCCAGUGAAUUUUAAACGGCCGCGGUAUCCUAACCGCGCGAAGGUAGCAUAAUCACUUGUUCUUUAAAUGGGGACUUGUAUCAACGGCAUCACGAGGGUUUUACUGUCUCCUCUUUUUGAUCAGUGAAAUUGAUCUUCCCGUGAAGAAGCGGGAAUAAGCUUAUAAGACGAGAAGACCCCAUGGAGCUUAAAACCAAAUAACAACUUAACCACUUACCCCACUAUAAAUUUAAGCCCUGUUAUAAGGUUUUUGGUUGGGGUGACCGCGGAGUAAAACACAUCCUCCACGACGGAAAGAACACACUCUUUAUUUAAGAACCACAAUUCUAGAAAUUAGUAUACUAACGUUUACUGACCCGACAAUCGAUCAACGGACCAAGUUACCCUGGGGAUAACAGCGCAAUCUACUUCAAGAGCCCAUAUCGACAAGUAGGCUUACGACCUCGAUGUUGGAUCAGGGUAUCCCGGUGGUGCAGCCG